rnacentral:rRNA from 1 species
AUGAAUCCUGCAGAUUCUGCUAGUACUGAUGGUGCAAUAGAAGGUCAAAGUCCAGCGGAAAAUUCUACAAACACGACAUCCCAUGCUACACGAGUUGCAAAAAAAGCCAAACAGAAACAAAUAGCUGCCACCAAACAAGCAGAGACGGCCCUAGUUCUUGCAACACCUACCACAGUACUACCAGCUCCACGACUUACUCGUGCAUCAACUGAGCUAGCAGCACGUUCCCAAGCCCCCUUGCCACCUGACACUACUUCCCAAGCACUCUUGACACAAGAUGAGUUGGCAAUAUCAGAUGAACAUUGUGAGCUUCAACAGCACGAAGCACCUAGGCGCAAGAGGAAACAAACAUCAGGGAUAAUGCUCGAUAGGUUAGGAGGAAGAAUGGAGGUCCAUUUUGAGGCAGGUUUAAAAAGGCCACGUGAUGCUACAAAGUCACCCAAGUUAGUAUCAGAGGCAGCGGUUGCCGUUAGGUGUCAUGUACGUAUCCUCCCAACAUGGAUCAGUACAGGAAUGACAAAGACGAAACCCAGUUCAACACCUUCCUCAACCAUUUAUCUAUGA